GCCUCCGUAGCUCAACGGAUAGAGUGCUUGUCUUCGGAACAAGUGAUGGAGGUCCGAUUCCUCCCGGAGGCACCU
rnacentral:tRNA from 1 species